CCCAGACUCCUACGGGAGGCAGCAGUGGGGAAUAUUGGACAAUGGGGGGAACCCUGAUCCAGCGACGCCGCGUGAGUGAAGAAGUAUUUCGGUAUGUAAAGCUCUAUCAGCAGGGAAGAAAGAAAUGACGGUACCUGACUAAGAAGCCCCGGCUAACUACGUGCCAGCAGCCGCGGUAAUACGUAGGGGGCAAGCGUUAUCCGGAUUUACUGGGUGUAAAGGGGGCGCAGACGGCAGCGCAAGCCAGGAGUGAACGCCCGGGGCCCAACCCCGGGACUGCUCUUGGAACUGCGCGGCUGGAGUGCAGGAGGGGCAGGCGGAAUUCCUGGUGUAGCGGUGAAAUGCGUAGAUAUCAGGAGGAACACCGGUGGCGAAGGCGGCCUGCUGGACUGCGACUGACGUUGAGGCCCGAAAGCGUGGGGAGCAAACAGGAUUAGAUACCCGGGUA
rnacentral:rRNA from 1 species